AGUGAACGCUGGCGGCAGGCCUAACACAUGCAAGUCGAGCGGCAGCGCGUCCGACCACCCUCGGGUGGUCGGAUGGCGGCGAGCGGCGGACGGGUGAGGAAUGCAUCGGAAUCUGCCUCGUUGUGGGGGAUAACGUAGGGAAACUUACGCUAAUACCGCAUACGACCUACGGGUGAAAGUGGGGGACCUUCGGGCCUCACGCGAUGAGAUGAGCCGAUGCCGGAUUAGCUAGUUGGCGGGGUAAAGGCCCACCAAGGCGACGAUCCGUAGCUGGUCUGAGAGGAUGAUCAGCCACACUGGAACUGAGACACGGUCCAGACUCCUACGGGAGGCAGCAGUGGGGAAUUUUGGACAAUGGGCGCAAGCCUGAUCCAGCCAUGCCGCGUGCGGGAAGAAGGCC
rnacentral:rRNA from 1 species